rnacentral:rRNA from 1 species
CGGGUGAGUAACACGUAUCCAACCUGCCGUCUACUCUUGGACAGCCUUCUGAAAGGAAGAUUAAUACAAGAUGGCAUCAUGAGUCCACAUGUUCACAUGAUUAAAGGUAUUCCGGUAGACGAUGGGGAUGCGUUCCAUUAGAUAGUAGGCGGGGUAACGGCCCACCUAGUCUUCGAUGGAUAGGGGCUCUGAGAGGAAGGUCCCCCACAUUGGAACUGAGACACGGUCCAA